rnacentral:rRNA from 1 species
CCCCAAAAAAAAAAAACCCCCCCUGUAAAAAAAAAAAAAAAGCUCCCCCCCCCCAAAAAAAAAAACCCGUCCCUUUUUUAAAAAAAAAAAACUCUUCCCCCCCCAAAAAAAAACCCCGGGUGCUUCUUUUUAAAAGAAGGAGAAAAUAUUCCCUUUUUAGGGGCCGCCCGGGGGGGGGGUUUUUUAUGGGGGGGAAAAAAAACCACCGGGGAUGCCUUCAGAAAGGGGGAUUGAAGGGGCAAAAGUUAAAAUUUGAAUUCUUUCGGGAAUGUAUUUUGAGGGGGGGUUGGCUAGGAAAAGUACUUUAAGUCCAUUGGAAAAUGGCGCCAUGGAGGGUGAUAGCCCCGUAAAAGUAUCCCUUUUCCUUUUAUCCAUUCCCUCCAAAGAGUCGAGUUGUUUGGGAAUGCAGCUCUAAGUGGGUGGUAAAUUCCAUCUAAAGCUAAAUAUUGGCGAGAGACCGAUAGCGAACAAGUACAGUGAUGGAAAGAUGAAAAGCACUUUGAAAAGAGAGUGAAAAAGUACGUGAAAUUGUUGAAAGGGAAGGGCUGGCAAGCAGACACAACCUCGGUUGGGCCGGCAUCGGAGUGGGGGGAGACAAAAAAGAAAAGGAAUGUAACUCAUUGAAUUAUAAAACCCUUUUCCCAAAUUUCCCACCCCUUCCCAAGGCUGCCAAUCUUCCAGGGUGCCGG